GACGAACGCUGGCGGCGUGCCUAAUACAUGCAAGUAGAACGCUGAAGGAGGAGCUUGCUUCUCUGGAUGAGUUGCGAACGGGUGAGUAACGCGUAGGUAACCUGCCUGGUAGCGGGGGAUAACUAUUGGAAACGAUAGCUAAUACCGCAUAAUAGUAGAUGUUGCAUGACAUUUGCUUAAAAGGUGCAAUUGCAUCACUACCAGAUGGACCUGCGUUGUAUUAGCUAGUUGGUGAGGUAACGGCUCACCAAGGCAACGAUACAUAGCCGACCUGAGAGGGUGAUCGGCCACACUGGGACUGAGACACGGCCCAGACUCCUACGGGAGGCAGCAGUAGGGAAUCUUCGGCAAUGGACGGAAGUCUGACCGAGCAACGCCGCGUGAGUGAAGAAGGUUUUCGGAUUGUAAAGCUCUGUUGUAAGAGAAGAACGAGUGUGAGAGUGGAAAGUUCACACUGUGACGGUAUCUUACCAGAAAGGGACGGCUAACUACGUG
rnacentral:rRNA from 1 species